rnacentral:rRNA from 1 species
UACGUAGGUGGCAAGCGUUGUCCGGAUUUAUUGGGUUUAAAGGGUGCGUAGGCGGUCCUAUAAGUCAGUUGUGAAAUACGGCAGCUUAACUGUCGAGGUGCAAUUGAUACUGCAGGACUUGAGUACAGACGAGGUAGGCGGAAUUGACGGUGUAGCGGUGAAAUGCUUAGAUAUCGUCAAGAACACCGAUAGCGAAGGCAGCUUACUAGACUGUAACUGACGCUGAUGCACGAAAGUGUGGGGAUCGAAACAGG